GACGAACGCUGGCGGCGUGCUUAACACAUGCAAGUUGAACGGGGCAUAUAUUUGACAGACUUUUCGGAGUUUAGAAGAUAUAUGUUUAGUAGCGGACGGGUGAGUAAUGCAUGAGAACCUGCCCUUCAGAGGGGGACAACAGCUGGAAACGGCUGCUAAUACCGCAUACGCUUUCCGGGACACAAGUGCCGGAAAGGAAGAUGGCCUCUACAUGUAA
rnacentral:rRNA from 1 species